GUUGUGGCUCAGUGGUAGAGCACUUGCCUCGUAUGUUUGAGGCACUGGGUUCGAUUCUCAGUACACA
rnacentral:tRNA from 1 species